AUUUUUUGCCCUUUCCCCUUGCCUGUCAAAUUUUAUGCUGCCUAGCCGCUGCCGUUUCUCCUCAGCUGCGCCACCGUAUUUCAACGCCUUUUAUUGGAAAGAUGAUGGCGGAAGAGGAGGGACAGCCAUUGCCAUACGUAUCAGAGAUAGUAUUAAAGAAAAAGGAAAAUAAAAGAUGAGUUGGCGAUUACGAGGAAGACCGAGUUGGAGUUGGGCAAAUAUGGAGCGAAGAAAAGCAAGAAGCAAUCCGAUGUUUCUGACAUCAAAAGACCCAAGCAGUUCGUAAGAGAGUUUAGAGACAAGAAUGAAACAGAGGGCAAAGAGACCAAAAUCAAUGAUACCAGAACCAAGAUCGAAGUUGCUUUUCAUUAUCCGUAUACAUGGAUAGGUUAUAUUUCCCCCCUGAUCUUAUUCAAUGUUUUUGCUUCUAAUCUCUUAAAGCUAUAUUCUUUCUAUUUUUAUUAUAUU